UACGUAGGUGGCAAGCGUUGUCCGGAUUUACUGGGCGUAAAGGGCUUGUAGGCGGUUCGUUAAGUCUGGUGUGAAAUCUCCCGGCUCAACCGGGAGGGGUCAUCGGAUACUGGCGGACUAGAGACAGGUAGAGGAAAGCAGAAUUCCCGGUGUAGCGGUGAAAUGCGUAGAUAUCGAGAGGAACACCGGUGGCGAAGGCGGCCAACUGGACGAAUACUGACGCUGAGACACGAAAGCGUGGGGAGCAAACAGG
rnacentral:rRNA from 1 species